rnacentral:rRNA from 2 species
AACGCGUAAAGAACUUGCCCUUUAGACUGGGAUAACAGGGGGAAACUUCUGAUAAUACUGGAUAAGUUAGUAUAUCGCAUGAUAUACAAAUGAAANGCUACNGNGCACUAAAGGAGAGCUUUGCGUCCUAUUAGCUAGUUGGUAAGGUAAGAGCUUACCAAGGCGAUGAUAGGUAGCCGGCCUGAGAGGGUGGACGGCCACAAGGGGACUGAGAUACGGCCCUUACUCCUACGGGAGGCAGCAGUGGGGAAUAUUGGACAAUGGAGGGAACUCUGAUCCAGCAAUUCUGUGUGUGUGAAGAAGGUUUUAGGACUGUAAA